rnacentral:lncRNA from 1 species
AUGGCAGCCUCCACCUGGAGGCCGCCAUAUUUACCCCACGAGCUGCGGGGCCGGGGCCUGACGCGACCGGAACGUGACGCAGAGUGGAGGCGGGGCUCCUCCCCCCCCAACCCUGGCGUCGAGUGUCUCGUGACAGGCACUUCCGCUCGGGGCGGCGGCGGUGGCGGAAGUGGGUGCAAGGCCGGAGCUUUGGCCAUAAAGCCCGAGGCGGCGGCGUUGAUUACGGUGUUUGGGGCUGGGCAGCUCCGGGGAGCCUGCUGGAGCCGGAGUCGGACCUCUCUGUCGCGGCCUGCGUUGUGUCUCCUUGUCGGCGGACCCCGCGGGAGCCUGAGCAGCUGGGAAGGAGCUUUUUCUUUUAACGAGUAAACACACUUUGACAAGAGUGACUCUGAUGCUGAAUGGACUCUUGCAAGAACACCCACUGUGGAUGCCCACUGCUCCUGCUGACCACUUGUGAAAGCUGUGGACGUCUGAAUGAAGAUCUCUCCAUCCCUGAACCCUCCUCCAGCGCUUGCUGCCUUCCAAGGAAAAUUAUUCCACAGACAGAAAGGAUUCAGAAAUAUUUCUUUCUCUCUUCCCUCUCCUUCAUUCCCUGUCUCCCUCUCCUUUUGGUGCUGAGGAUAAAACCCUAGGGCCUUGCAUGGGCUAGACAGGUCCUCUUAACAAAAUAGCAUCCUUGCCUGGGGUUGGCACAUGCCUUUAAUCCUAGCACUCUGGAGGCAGACGCAGGAAGAUCUCUCUGAGUUUGAGGCCAGCCUAGUCUACAGAGCGAGUGCCAGGAUAGGCUCCAAAGCCACAGAGAAACCCUGUCUGGGGAGUUGGAGGGGACAGAAAAAACAAAACAAAACAAAACCCAAAAAAUAGCAUCCUUAGCCCCAGGGACAUUCCUUACAGUGUUUCUCCUUCCACAUUUUUCAUACUUUAACAACAUAGGUAAAUUGUAUGCUGGAGACACUGCUUGCUGUUGUGGUAAUUUGGUGGCUUUGGGGCAACAUCCCUGUGUAGUUUCCAUAGUUUCAGAUGAAAAAAGUGACUCACUUUACUGCUGCAGAGUAGGCAUGUUAGGCUCUCUGUGGUACUGUCUGUGGGCAGAGACACAGUGGGAAGGAAACAGAUGGGUGAGUGUGCAUGAGCAGUGACUGAGUGUAGUUCUUCCUUUCUGAUACUCAGAGAGGCUACUAAGAAAUUAAGCUAUGACCAGGACAUGUAGCACAUGCCUCUAAUCCCAGCAAUCAGGAAGCAGAAUCAGGCCACAAGUCUCUUGUAAGUUUGAGGCCAGCUUGGUCUACAUAGCGAGUUCCAGGAUAGCCAGAGCUACAUGGUGAGAACCUGUCUAAAGCUCCCCCCCUCCCAAGGAAGUCUUUGUAAAACUUCUCUUUUUAUCUCUUUAACUCUGCCCUUUAGAUUCAAAACUUGUCCACUGGCAUAGUGUAAUCUCCAUCUCAAAAAGUGAUCCUAGACCUUAUAUGAGACUAAAACCUUGUUAAGUCAAGACAGUCCCUGGGGGAACGGGGUGGGGGGAUAUGGCUCCAUAUAUAAUGGUUUAGGGUAUGACAGGAGGCUAAAGGAAACAGUCUCUGAGGAUUCAGGUCUCUUAUGCAGCCUGUACCCAGUACUGGCUGGUGUUUUCUAACUAAUGCAAUUGAGCUUGAGAGGUGCUGUCUUCAUAGCCCAAUCCAUGAGCAUGGGGUUUGGGUAGUGAGAAUAGCCAGACCUUCUCCGAUGGUUGAUCUUUUGUUUUGUUUUGCUUUUUAAGACAGCUUUUUUCUGUGUAUCCUUGACUGUCCUGGAACUCCUUCUAUAGACCAGGCUGGCCUCCAAUCACAGAGAUCUGCCUGCCUCUGUCUCCCAAGUGCUAGGUUUAAAGGGGUGUGCCACCACUGCCUGGCUGAUGGUUGAUCCUAAUUUCCAACUAUAUUUGAUUGAGAGGUACUUGGGAGAUUUAUAAGGCUUGUCUUUGGGUGUGUCUGUGAUGGCAUUAUUACAUUUAUUUUAUUGUGUGCAUAUGUGUAGGCAUGUCCCAGCAUACAUGUGGAAGUCAGGGGACAACUUUGAGGAGAUGGAUCUCUCUUUCCAAUCUGUAGGACUGGGGAUUGAACUCUGGUCAUUAGGCCUGGAGGCAAGUCCCUUUACCUGCUGAGCCAUCUCACUGACCCCAGAGACAAUUAAGUAGGGAGACAGUCUUUGAAUGUGGGUGAUAGCAUCCCAUACCUUGCUGGUGUGGGGGGGUGAGUGUGUUGGAAUAAAGGGCAAGGAGGAAGCCUAGUGGUACA